rnacentral:rRNA from 1 species
AUUCCGGUUGAUCCUGCCGGAGGCCAUUGCUAUUGGGAUCCGAUUUAGCCAUGCUAGUCGUACGAGUUCAUACUCGUGGCGAAUAGCUCAGUAACACGUGGCCAAACUACCCUUCGGAGCACAAUACCCUCGGGAAACUGAGGCUAAUAGUACGUACCAUACCACCACUGGAAUGAGUGGUAUGCCAAACGCUCCGGCGCCGAAGGAUGUGGCUGCGGCCGAUUAGGUAGACGGUGGGGUAAC